UGGGGAAUAUUGGGCAAUGGGGGCAACCCUGACCCAGCGACGCCGCGUGAGGGAAGAAGGCCUUAGGGUCGUAAACCUCUGUUGUGUGGGAAGAAGGAAGUGACGGUACCACACGAGGAAGUCCCGGCUAACUACGUGCCAGCAGCCGCGGUAAUACGUAGGGGACGAGCGUUGUCCGGAAUUACUGGGCGUAAAGGGCGCGUAGGCGGUCAUUUAAGUCAGCUGUGAAAUGGUCCGGCUCAACCGGAUCAUGCGGUUGAAACUGGAUGACUGGAGUGCUGGAGAGGCAAGUGGAAUUCCCAGUGUAGUGGUGAAAUGUGUAGAUAUUGGGAAGAACACCGGUGGCGAAGGCGACUUGCUGGCCAGCAACUGACGCUGAGGCGCGAAAGCCAGGGGAGCAAACG
rnacentral:rRNA from 1 species